AUGGCGUGCAGCAGCACCGGCGCCCUCCAGUCAUUGCCACUGCUCGUCUUCGAGCACCAGCCCACACGGAACGAGUCGACGACAGCGAUCGGAGUCGGAGGCGAUGAUCAAGAAGUUAUCCCCGAGAUGCUCAUGUUCAGCAUAUCGGAAGAGAGAACAUGCAUGGAGGCGACACCGGCCAUGCUAUCCCCGCAGGACAACCAGAUCUGCUUCGCCACCCCGCAGGGCUGGAUCUUCAUCAUCCACGGCGCCUCCCCGUGGGAGACCUGGUUGUGGCAUCCGAUCACCGGAGAGACCAUACCCCUCCCGCCCAUAAAAGACGACCACUAUGUCCCCACCAGCUGCACCUGCCUCCUGACCCAUAGCUCCGUCGCGCACCCCGACUGCGCCGUCGUCCUGUUCGACGUCGAGGACCCCGAAAUGUGGUUCUGCCGAGUCAACGGCGGAAGCAGGAGGGCAUGGGGGCAGCACACAUACGAUGUUGGUGAGUACACUCUCCCAGACCCAGAGCCAGAGGACGUCAGUGACGGCGACGGCGACUCCACUUCUACUCCCCCCACCAAGCGAGUCAUCCCCACCCUCGUCGCCGCGCAGGGAGGGAAGCUGCACUUCAUCUUCUCGGAAUCAAACCAAUACAAGAUGGGCAUCGUUCAGCUCGACUUCGGCACCCCUCCUUCUCCCACUGCUGAGCUUCAUACGCUCGAGGACGUGGACGCCGCCAUCACUCUACCGGAAGGCAUGUGCUCCGGCGUGUCUUGGCUGCUGGACUCCCUCGGGGAGCUGUUCCGGGUCUGCGUUUGCUUUCGGGAAUUCAACCCCGACGACAUCGGCGCCGUCCUUGUCUUUAAGAUGGAUUUCGACCAUGGGCGCUGCUGGCGCAUGGUGCAUGACAUUGGAGACAGGGUCUUCAUGUUGGCUCGCGGAGGCAAUGCGGUUUCUUGCCCAGCGGGCGCCUGCAACCUGCAGGGAAACCGCAUCUACUUCAUGAAGAACUUCGUCGAGGAUGAUGGGGAUCUGUGCAUCUACGACUUGGGGGAACAACUCAUUGAGAUUCUUGUGGUUCAUGAACGUGACUUGACUCUUGCACGCGUCAAACCUUAUUGGAGCCUAGUGCAUGAUAUGCAUGCACGCGGCCUCAAAUCCGAUGCUUAUUUCUAG
rnacentral:rRNA from 1 species